AUUGAACGCUGGCGGCAGGCCUAACACAUGCAAGUCGAGCGGGGUUUUCGGACCUAGCGGCGGACGGGUGAGUAAUGCGUAGGAAGCUGCCCGAUAGAGGGGGAUACCAGUUGGAAACGACUGUUAAUACCGCAUAAUGUCUACGGACCAAAGUGUGGGACCUUCGGGCCACAUGCUAUCGGAUGCGCCUACGUGGGAUUAGCUAGUUGGUGAGGUAAUGGCUCACCAAGGCGACGAUCUCUAGCUGGCUUGAGAGGAUGAUCAGCCACACUGGAACUGAGACACGGUCCAGACUCCUACGGGAGGCAGCAGUGGGGAAUAUUGGACAAUGGGCGCAAGCCUGAUCCAGCCAUGCCGCGUGUGUGAAGAAGGCCUUCGGGUUGUAAAGCACUUUCAGUGAGGAGGAAGGGGUGUGUGUUAAUAGUACACACCUUUGACGUUACUCGCAGAAGAAGCACCGGCUAACUCUGUGCCAGCCGCCGCGGUAAUAC
rnacentral:rRNA from 1 species